rnacentral:rRNA from 1 species
ACUCCUACGGGAGGCAGCAGUGGGGAAUCUUGGACAAUGGGGGCGAACCCUCGAUCCAGCCAUGCCGCGUGAGUGAUGAAGGCCUUAGGGUCGUAAAGCUCUUUCGCCUGUGAUGAUAAUGACAGUAGCAGGUAAAGAAACCCCGGCUAACUCCGUGCCAGCAGCCGCGGUAAUACGGAGGGGUUAGCGUUGUUCGGAAUUACUGGGGCGUAAAGCGCGCGUAGGCGGAUUAGUCAGUUAGAGGUGAAAUCCCAGGGCUCAACCCUGGAACUGCCUUUAAUACUGCUAGUCUUGAGUUCGAGAGAGGUGAGUGGAAUUCCGAGUGUAGAGGUGAAAUUCGUAGAUAUUCGGAGGAACACCAGUGGCGAAGGCGGCUCACUGGCUCGAUACUGACGCUGAGGUGCGAAAGUGUGGGGGAGCAAACAGGAUUAGAUACCCUGGUAGGAUAGCG